rnacentral:rRNA from 1 species
CAGCCGCGGUCAUACGGAGGGUGCAAGCGUUAAUCGGAAUUACUGGGCGUAAAGCGCACGCAGGCGGUUUGUUAAGUCAGAUGUGAAAUCCCCGGGCUCAACCUGGGAACUGCAUCUGAUACUGGCAAGCUUGAGUCUCGUAGAGGGAAGUGGAAUUCCAUGUGUAGCGGUGAAAUGCGUAGAGAUAUGGAGGAACACCAGUGGCGAAGGCGGCCCCCUGGACGAAGACUGACGCUCAGGUGCGAAAGCGUGGGGAGCAAACAGG